GUGCCUACUGAGCUGAUAUCAGUUCUCGUUUCACACACUGGCUCAGUUCAGCAGGAACAG
rnacentral:pre_miRNA from 1 species